rnacentral:lncRNA from 1 species
UAGAUAUUUUCGGUGGUGGUGGCUAUAAAUAAGAGUGCAGAGAAGAGGCAAUAGCCAUUUUAAACACAAAGUAAUAUUUCCAAGAUGAAGGCCUUUCUUAUCAUAUGCAUUCUCUUGGCUACCGUUGCCUUCUCUCCCUUUUCCACGAGCACUGCCCUAGAAUUAUCCCAUAAAGGUGAAGAACCCACCUUCUCUAUCUGCUUUCGUUUCCAUUGAUCUUAUGAUUUAAGAUAAUCAUGUACCUAGCUAGUUCAUAUUUAUUUGAAUAUAUGUUCAGAUAACAGUUCAUAUGUAAGUGUAUGUUCAUGUAUAACGCUGCAUCUAUGCCUGCUUUGAUUUCUGAGCUGGUCCUCCAUCUUUUGCUUUCUCCUCUGUUAACAGUAUUUUCAUCACCGCACCGUAUAUUUACUGAGUUUGUGAUAAUUUUCAUAGCACGUUAACACGUGUGAGUAAAUCUUGCAGGUCCAUACAGGACACAUGACGCUUCCAUGCAACAAGGUGGCCCGGUGAAGCCACCACGUGGCCCACGUCCCCCGGGGAAGCCACCACGUGGCCCGGGGAAGCCACCACGUGGCCCGGGGAAUCCACCACGUGGCCUGGACAAUCGACCAUUGAGAUGCCACCUCCCGGGUCACAGUAAUGCGCACACUUGGAAUUGUGAAAUGCCUUGAGAAUGGAACACUACGGAUUAGAAGGCAGUAAAGUGUCGACCGACAGCUAGUAGUAUCUUUAUUAACAUGGUAAUCUGAUAUGAGAAUAUUUUAUGUAAGAAAAAUAAACUAUGAUGUAUGAUCAUGAGGUUUUAAUUUCUGUCGGGUUUUAUAUUGUAUUAUCGUAAUGAAGUUGAUGCAAUAUAAAUAAAGUGUUUAAUUAGCUAGACUAUAUAUCUUCUCUGUUGUUCAUAUGAGUGCUAUACAUGUUUUUUUUUUUUUUUU